AACCAAAAAUUUUUAGCAGCCAAAGCUGCUCAUAUCCACCUCAAAAUCAGCAGCCAAGCUACUCUAUUCAUUCUAAAAAAUCAGCAACUAAGCUGCUCUAUUCUUUCUCUAAAAAUUAGCAGCCAUAGCUACUCCUUUCCUCCCUAAAUGGCAGCAAAACCGCAUUCUCAACUCAGCUUUUUCACCUUUCCUUUCUUUCUUUUUCUCUCUCUCGGCUGUUUCUCUCUUUUUUCUUUCCUUUGUUCUUUUGCUUUUCUGUUGCUCUCCCUCACAAUCGAUUUCUCUCUUUCCCGUUUCUUCUU
rnacentral:lncRNA from 1 species